ACACGCAUGACACACUGCAUAUCAAUAAGCGGAGGAAAAGAAACUAACAAGGAUUCCCUUAGUAACGGCGAGUGAAGCGGGAAGAGCUCAAAUUUGAAAUCUUCGAGGUUUACCUUGACGAAUUGUAGUUUAAAGAAGUGUUUUCUGUUGGAGUUUUGGUAAAAGUUCUUUGGAAUAGGACAUCAUAGAGGGUGAGAAUCCCGUAUUUGACCAUUAUUUCCAACUUUGUGAUACACUUUCAAAGAGUCGGAUUGUUUGGGAAUGCAGUCCAAAAUGGGUGGUAAAUUUCAUCUAAAGCUAAAUAUUGGCGAGAGACCGAUAGCGAACAAGUACCGUGAGGGAAAGAUGAAAAGAACUUUGAAAAGAGAGUUAAACAGUACGUGAAAUUGUCAAAAGGGAAGCGUUUGACACCAGUGUUGUUUUCUCGAAAAUCAAUUAAAAAUGGUGGAUUUUGUGUUGUAUUGACCUUAUAAGCUUUCUGCACUCUUUCCUUGUCUUUUUUAAUGCACUUUUCGUUUAACAAGUCAACAUCAAUUUCUUUUGUUGUAAAAGAGUCAUUGGAAGGUGGCUUUCUUUUCGGAGAAAGUGUUUAUAGCCUUUGAUCUCUGCAGUCGGAGAGACUGAGGUCUGCAGCGUAGACUCUUCGGGGUUAGAUACAUUUGUGCUAAGCUAUAGCUUUUUAUAGACAACUUGUUGACUAUAUUUAGUCUUGUGGCUUACUCGCUUAUGCUAUUUUACCUACGCUUAGGAUGUUGAGCGCAUGUCUCUCUCU
rnacentral:rRNA from 1 species